rnacentral:rRNA from 1 species
UACGUAGGCAGCGAGCGUUGUUCAGAGUUAUUGGGCGUAAAGGGUGCGUAGGUGGCGCCGUAAGUCAGGUGUGAAAUCUCGGGGCUUAACUCCGAAACUGCAUUUGAUACUGCGGUGCUUGAGGACUGGAGAGGAGACUGGAAUUUACGGUGUAGCAGUGAAAUGCGUAGAGAUCGUAAGGAAGACCAGUGGCGAAGGCGGGUCUCUGGACAGUUCCUGACACUGAGGCACGAAGGCCAGGGGAGCAAACGGG